UACAGAGGGGGCAAGCGUUGUUCGGAAUUACUGGGCGUAAAGGGCGCGUAGGCGGCCUGCUAAGUCGAACGUGAAAUCCCCGGGCUCAACCCGGGAACUGCGUCCGAUACUGGCAGGCUUGAAUUCGGGAGAGGGAUGCGGAAUUCCAGGUGUAGCGGUGAAACGCGUAGAUAUCUGGAGGAACACCGGUGGCGAAGGCGGCAUCCUGGACCGAGAUUGACGCUGAUGCGCGAAAGCCAGGGGAGCAAACGGG
rnacentral:rRNA from 1 species